GACAGAGGUGCCGAGCGUUAGGCGGAAUCACUGGGCUUAAAGCGUGUGUAGGCGGGCGGGCAAGUACCUUGUGAAAUCCCACGGCUCAACCGUGGAACGGCUGGGUAUACUGCCUGUCUUGAGCCAACUAGGGGCGAGCGGAACAGACGGUGGAGCGGUGAAAUGCGUAGAUAUCGUCUGGAACGCCAAAGGUGAAAACAGGUAGCUGGGAGUGUGCUGACACUGAGACACGAAAGCCAGGGGAGCGAACGGG
rnacentral:rRNA from 1 species